GGAAGAUAUGGAUCUGAACAAUAGCGUAGAAGGGGAGUCAUUCCGUAAUUCGUAAAUCGUAAAAAUUAGAUCAAGUUGAUUCAAGACCUCCUCGUGGUAUCUUCUGGAUGCUAUUAGACUAAAGUUCUUUUGGUCUAAUAGUAACUAACUUGAAC
rnacentral:ribozyme from 1 species